UACGGGGGGGGCAAGCGUUGUUCGGAAUUACUGGGCGUAAAGGGCUCGUAGGUGGCCAACUAAGUCAGACGUGAAAUCCCUCAGCUUAACUGGGGAACUGCGUCUGAUACUGGAUGGCUUGGAUUCGGGAGAGGAAUGCGGAAUUCCAGGUGUAGCGGUGAAAUGCGUAGAUAUCUGGAGGAACACCGGUGGCGAAGGCGGCUCACUGGCCCGGUACUGACGCUGAGGUGCGAAAGCGUGGGGAGCAAACAGG
rnacentral:rRNA from 1 species